rnacentral:rRNA from 1 species
UGGGGAAUAUUGCACAAUGGGGGAAACCCUGAUGCAGCAACGCCGCGUGAGUGAUGACGGCCUUCGGGUUGUAAAGCUCUGUCUUCAGGGACGAUAAUGACGGUACCUGAGGAGGAAGCCACGGCUAACUACGUGCCAGCAGCCGCGGUAAUACGUAGGUGGCGAGCGUUGUCCGGAUUUACUGGGCGUAAAGGGAGCGUAGGCGGAUUUUUAAGUGAGAUGUGAAAUACUCGGGCUUAACCUGAGUGCUGCAUUUCAAACUGGAAGUCUAGAGUGCAGGAGAGGAGAAGGGAAUUCCUAGUGUAGCGGUGAAAUGCGUAGAGAUUAGGAAGAACACCAGUGGCGAAGGCGCUUCUCUGGACUGUAACUGACGCUGAGGCUCGAAAGCGUGGGGAGCAAACAGGA